AAUCUGGUUGCUUUCUACUCGAACUCAUGAAUUUCUUCCCUUAAUGGAAAACACACAAUCUGUAAAGUAUUCCCUUUUUCUAUAUAAAGACAAGUAAUUCAAUCAAUCUAGAGUAUUAUCUAUAGUUAAUUCAUCAAGAUUUAUGGAAAUAUUGUGAUACAUGAGAUUUCAGAUUUCAUGAUGGCAGGACAAAUCAAUCACGAUACAUCCUAAUUGAUCAAGCUCCAAUAUAUUCUGGUUCAUACAGUAACUAGCUUAGUUCUUGUUUGUUGGCUAGCUGCUUCAGAGAAAGAAAGGAACAAGUUUUACAGGCUUAAAGGCCGAAGCCCUUAAUUCCUUCGUGGGGGAAAAGCAAUGUUUGAUGAAUGAUUUCUGAGAUGAGAUGGGCAAGGAUGAAAAAGAGUCUUCUUCACUGCUCCCACCGAGACCAAGAACUGAUCAAGAGAUGAUAAGGUCUUCAUGUCAUCCGGUGGGAAGUAACUCGCCGCCUUCCCCAUAAUUGAUGUAAAUAGAAGAGAAAGUGAAGGCCGAGUAACAUAUCGCUCUCCCAAGAGGUCAUCUAGGAAUGCAAACGCGGCUAAAAAUUCAGACCUGCCUGUGUUAAUUGGAGCAAGGAAUUAUCCUCUUGAAUUUCCAGUCUCGGACAAUACUAUUAAUCCAAUCCCUGAUCUGCGAUUUUAACAAGCAAGAAAUAUGUCAUAAUAUAGAAAAAGCUGAUCACACUGAAGUUCAAAAAACUUGGGCUGGCUCUAUGCGCUCUAGAAGGUUGAUAAUUCAGAUGUGUUCAUCAUAUGUUUACCUUUUGGUUUGAUAGUACCAAUCACGGCAUACUAUAACCAGGCA